rnacentral:rRNA from 1 species
AUUGAACGCUGGCGGCAGGCUUAACACAUGCAAGUCGAGCGAGCGGCGGACGGGUGAGUAAUGUCUGGGAAAGUGCCUGAUGGAGGGGGAUAACUACUGGAAAAGGUAGCUACUACCGCAUACCAUCAGAUGUGCCCAUAUGGGAUUAGCGAGUAGGUGGGGUAAUGGCUCACCUAGGCGACGAUCCCUAGCUGGUCUGAGAGGAUGACCAGCCACACUGUAAUUGUGACACGGUCCAGACUCCUACGUGAGGCAGCAGUGGUGAAUAGUGCACAAUGGGGGCAAACCUGAUGCAGCCAUGCCGAGUGUGUGAAGAAGGCCUUCGGGUUGUAAAGCACUUUCAGCGAGGAGGCGUUACUCGCAGAAUAAGCACUGGCUAACUUCGUGCCAGCAGCCGCGGUAAUAC